CUUCGGAUUGUAAACUCCUGUUGUUGGGGAAGAUAAUGACGGUACCCAACAAGGAAGUGACGGCUAACUACGUGCCAGCAGCCGCGGUAAAACGUAGGUCACAAGCGUUGUCCGGAAUUACUGGGUGUAAAGGGAGCGCAGGCGGGAAGACAAGUUGGAAGUGAAAUCUAUGGGCUCAACCCAUAAACUGCUUUCAAAACUGUUUUUCUUGAGUAGUGCAGAGGUAGGCGGAAUUCCCGGUGUAGCGGUGGAAUGCGUAGAUAUCGGGAGGAACACCAGUGGCGAAGGCGGCCUACUGGGCACCAACUGACGCUGAGGCUCGAAAGUGUGGGUAGCAAACAGGAUUAGAUACCCUGGUAGUCCACACCGUAAACGAUGAUUACUAGGUGUUGGAGGAUUGACCCCUUCAGUGCCGCAGUUAACACAAUAAGUAAUCCACCUGGGGAGUACGACCGCAAGGUUGAAACUCAAAGGAAUUGACGGGGGCCCGCACAAGCAGUGGAGUAUGUGGUUUAAUUCGACGCAACGCGAAGAACCUUACCAAGUCUUGACAUCCCUUGACAGACAUAGAAAUAUGUAAUCUCUUCGGAGCAAGGAGACAGGUGGUGCAUGGUUGUCGUCAGCUCGUGUCGUGAGAUGUUGGGUUAAGUCCCGCAACGAGCGCAACCCUUAUGGUCAGUUACUACGCAAGAGGACUCUGGCCAGACUGCCGUUGACAAAACGGAGGAAGGUGGGGAUGACGUCAAAUCAUCAUGCCCUUUAUGACUUGGGCUACACACGUACUACAAUGGCGUUAAACAAAGAGAAGCAAGACCGCGAGGUGGAGCAAAACUCAGAAACAACGUCCCAGUUCGGACUGCAGGCUGCAACUCGCCUGCACGAAGUCGGAAUUGCUAGUAAUCGUGGAUCAGCAUGCCACGGUGAAUACGUUCCCGGGCCUUGUACACACCGCCCGUCACACCAUGAGAGCCGGGGGGACCCGAAGUCGGUAGUCUAACCGCAAGGAGGACGCCGCCGAAGGUAAAACUGGUGAUUGGGGUGAAGUCGUAACAAGGUAGCCGUAGGAGAACCUGCGGCUG
rnacentral:rRNA from 1 species